GUUGGCAGAAAUAUAGAGAAAACUAUGUAGACAAAAUCAAUAAAAAUCUAGGCACUGCUAUCUGUCAAAAACGUCACAUUACCCCUCCUUACAAAAAGAGGUCGCCCCGACCGCGGGUUAUACACAACCAAAUACGGUGACUGUCGCUACCUGAUUUCACAUAUAUAAUUGGUUCCAAGUUAAAUAUACAUAUAGUAGCUAAAAUUAUGACAAUAUCCAUAGAUAAAAAACAACACUAUUUGAGCUUUAAAGUUGUAAUGGUGUCCAAUAUAAAUUGUACCCACACAUUUACCCGUAAUCAUUUUAACAACCCAUAUACAUGUAAACUACAAUUUUCUUUCUUAUUCCCUCCCCUAUUUUAAAUUUAGUUUUACAAUUCCGAACAAUAAAUAAUAAGUAUACAUUAAGUAAAUAGUGGUUUCAUGAUAACAUAUCACUACUAGAGAGUCCACUAAAUAUCUUCUUCGUUGCCGGUCAUCAGGAUUAUCUAUGUAGACGAGAUCUUGAAAGUUCUUGUGACUGACUAACAUACAUUAAAC
rnacentral:lncRNA from 1 species